ACCCGACUCCACGAAGUUGGAUUCGCUAGUAAUCGCGCAUCAGCCAUGGCGCGGUGAAUACGUUCCCGGGCCUUGUACACACCGCCCGUCAAGCCAUGGGAGCCGGGGGCGCCUGAAGUCCGGGACCGCGAGGACCGGCCUAGGGCGAAACUGGUAACUGGGGCUAAGUCGUAACAAGGUACC
rnacentral:rRNA from 1 species